UUCACCAAUAAAAUGUUAUUUUUAUUUUCUCCUCCGUCUGGCUGUUUUUGGCAAAACUAUUAGCUAAAUAAGAAAACAAAACUUUUUAUUUCUAUUCCGCCCUCCUCCGAUGAUCUUUAAGAAACAUAAGUACGCAAAACAAGGAUUUAAAAAAAAAGUCUCGCCUAAAGACUAUCUUUAUUAAAAUCUACAAAAAAAUCCUUGAAUAUUCAACAACAACAAAAUGGAAUGUUUAUUCAAAAGAUUAAAUAAAUCAUCAAUUUCCAAUUAGAAACAGAACUCAACAUUCAAAUUUUUCUCUUACUUAAUUUUUUACUUCAAAAAUCCUUACAGCAUAUUUAGACGAGACUUUUUUUAUACCUUGUUUUGUGAACUUAUUUUUUUUAAAGAUCAUCAGAAGGCAGAAAAAAAUAAAUAUACAAUUUGGUUUUCUUAUUUAGCAAAUAGUUUUGCCAAAUACUGUACAGCUAUAAGUCGUACGUACGCCCUAAUAAGGCGUACGCCUUAGUAAGGCAUACGUACGGGUUACAUAAGGCGUACGUACGGCUUAAUAACCCAUAA